UAGAGAAGCACACAUGACACACACACACUCAAGUUCAUAGAACAUCAAAGGUGCUUGGCUUUGCUCGUUCAAUCAACUAGUCAGCUGGUUAUCAUAUCUAUCCCAAACUAGCACCAUGAUGGCACCAGGGAAAGGAACAUUGCUCCUCCUGGUCUUGGCUAUGGUAAUUUGUGUAGGUUGUGUGAGUGGUACAGCGGCGUCAUGUACCAAGGCUCAAAAGGACAGCGUCCUAGUAUUAUGUAAUGGAAGCAUCAAGAAGGGAAAAUCUGAUCCCCUAUCCAAAAAAAGCAUGUGUUGUAAGUAUGUGAGAAACAUAGACACGAUCUGCAUCGUCAGUCUUCUUACAGACAAAGAGAAGAAACAAUACAACGAAUAUAAGAUUCGAAACCUUAGGAAAGACUGCUCACUUGCUCCUUCGGCGGCACUUGAUCUGGUCACGGUGUAAAGCGACGCAUGCUAUUGCUCCUGAAGGGCAUAAUAAAAAGUUGGAGAGGAGAUAUAUACAUCUGGUAGUUAUCUACUCCAGUAAAAUCAAUCUAGUUGUGAUAUGUUGUGACAUAUGUAUUGAUUUCAUGGAAUAAUAUAAUGUGUUGUCCAGCUUGAUCCAAAA